rnacentral:lncRNA from 1 species
CUCAGGAAUAGCUCCAGCCGCUUCCUUGAUCUGCGUGCAAUUAGUUCUCCCUUGCUAGCCCGCUGAUCUACUCUAGCAGCGCUUUCCUGUUCCACGUGGUACACCAACUGUGGCAAAUCCAGCCCCGGUUCUCAAUUUCUUUCUGAGCGUUCUUUUAAGUCUAGCAUUCCCCCACCCGUGGCCCUCAGGUUGACGCGAGCAGCACGAGUCCCACUUGAAGGUGGCGUCUUCUGAAAAGACGUGAAUGUCAACAAGGCCUAGGGCAACACAAAAGCUUUUGGUCUUCCAUCAUAUCUUCUAACUGGUUGUUGCUUAUGACCUACACACAGCGGUUAAACUGUCAAUGAAAGAGAAGAAAAGAAAAUCAGUGCCCACUCAGAGGGAAACAGCCAUGGGAACUUUGACUUCUGGACUGAGCUGAAGAUUGUGUAAAAUGUGGAACACAAAGUUAGGAUACAAAAUGUAUUAAAAAUAGAUGUUAUGAAUCAGCAAUAAAGUUUACCCAAGGCAUUCAUUUCUUUAAUGGUUGCUCAGAAAACACA